rnacentral:lncRNA from 1 species
AGCUAGCUCGCUAACGUUAGCUACAUUUUACCCUAUUUUUUUGUGAAACAUUGAAGAAAAGGUAGUUAUAUAUAGAAGAUACAAACGAAAAUGUCUUGAAUUCAACAUCUGGUACGUUUUUAUGAUGAAUAUUAGAUUACAUUAGCUAAAGAAAACUAGUUAGCUAACGUUAGUAAAACAGAUGGAUAAAUCCUGGUUUUCUGCCGGAUUUUUACAGAUACCAUAUCAACCGUCCCUUGACAAUGGGUUUCGAGGAAAUGUACAAUAUCAAGGAUGAAUGCCCGACAACCGUUUUGAAAAAAAAUGAGGUCAACAUCAUUUCUCCGAAACAGAACAUUGUACGAUUUUGGAAUUUAUUCAUCGCCCUAACAUCGUUGGUGGCUGUGACAGUGUCUUUAUUUGAGAACUACAAAUGCCUGUCUCAAGCUUCACGUCACUGACCAGUGCCUUGAUGAUCUGGAUGAGACUGCCGAAUCGAGGCAAAGUUGAAGUUGAACUUGUUGACUGAUGCCAUGGCGGCGACUGCUAAGAAGGGAGCAGCUGCGAACCAGAAGACUGCAGCCAUGGCAGCACUGGUCCACACCUGCCCUGUGUCAGGUGAGUAGUAUUGGAUGGUACUGUAUGUACCUUUAGGUUCCUCUCCAUGUGCAGGCUAUUGUACUGGCCUGU